GUGAGGAAUAUUGGUCAAUGGGCGCAAGCCUGAACCAGCCAUGCCGCGUGCAGGAAGACGGUCCUAUGGAUUGUAAACUGCUUUUAUUUGGGAAUAAACCUCCUUACGUGUAGGGAGCUGAAGGUACCAAAUGAAUAAGCACCGGCUAACUCCGUGCCAGCAGCCGCGGUAAUACGGAGGGUGCAAGCGUUAUCCGGAAUCAUUGGGUUUAAAGGGUCCGCAGGCGGUCAUAUAAGUCAGUGGUGAAAGCCUACAGCUCAACUGUAGAACUGCCAUUGAUACUGUAUGACUUGAAUUCGAUCGAAGUGGGCGGAAUGUGACAUGUAGCGGUGAAAUGCUUAGAUAUGUCACAGAACACCGAUAGCGAAGGCAGCUCACUAGGUCUGGAUUGACGCUCAGGGACGAAAGCGUGGGGAGCAAACAGGAUUAGAAACCCUAGUAGUCC
rnacentral:rRNA from 1 species